UACGAAGGGGGCUAGCGUUGUUCGGAAUUACUGGGCGUAAAGCGCACGUAGGCGGAUUGUUAAGUCGGGGGUGAAAUCCUGAGGCUCAACCUCAGAACUGCCUUCGAUACUGGCAAUCUCGAGUCCGGAAGAGGUUGGUGGAACAGCUAGUGUAGAGGUGAAAUUCGUAGAUAUUAGCUAGAACACCAGUGGCGAAGGCGGCCAACUGGUCCGGUACGUGG
rnacentral:rRNA from 1 species